UGGGGAAUAUUGCACAAUGGGCGCAAGCCUGAUGCAGCCAUGCCGCGUGUAUGAAGAAGGCCUUCGGGUUGUAAAGUACUUUCAGUCGGGAGGAAGGUGGUAAGGUUAAUAACCUUAUCAAUUGACGUUACCGACAGAAGAAGCACCGGCUAACUCCGUGCCAGCAGCCGCGGUAAUACGGAGGGUGCAAGCGUUAAUCGGAAUUACUGGGCGUAAAGCGCACGCAGGCGGUUGAUUGAGUCAGAUGUGAAAUCCCCGGGCUUAACCCGGGAAUUGCAUCUGAUACUGGUCAGCUAGAGUCUUGUAGAGGGGGGUAGAAUUUCAUGUGUAGCGGUGAAAUGCGUAGAGAUGUGGAGGAAUACCGGUGGCGAAGGCGGCCCCCUGGACAAAGACUGACGCUCAGGUGCGAAAGCGUGGGGAGCAAACAGG
rnacentral:rRNA from 1 species